GCUGAUGUAGCUCAGUUGGUAGAGCAGCUCAUUCGUAAUGAGCAGGUCGUAGGUUCAAGCCCUAUCAUCAGCUCCA
rnacentral:tRNA from 3 species